rnacentral:rRNA from 1 species
UAGGGAAUAUUGGACAAUGGGCGAAAGCCUGAUCCAGCAACGCCGCGUGUGCGAUGACGGCCUUCGGGUUGUAAAGCACUUUUAGAGGAGAUGAGAAAGGACAGUAUCCUCUGAAUAAGCCUCGGCGAACUACGUGCCAGCAGCCGCGGUAAAACGUAGGAAGCUAGCGUUAUCCGGAUUUAUUGGGCGUAAAGCGCGUGCAGGCGGUUUAUCAAGUUGGAUGUGAAAGCUCCUGGCUUAACUGGAGAGGUCGUUCAAAACUGAUAGACUAGAGAAUGGUAGAGGGAGGUGGAAUUCCGGGUGUAGUGGUGAAAUGCGUAGAUAUCCGGAGGAACACCAGUGGCGAAAGCGGCCUCCUGGGCCAUUUCUGACGCUAAGACGCGAAAGCUAGGGUAGCAAACGG